GAUGAACGCUGGCGGCGUGCCUAAUACAUGCAAGUCGAGCGAACUGAUUAGAAGCUUGCUUCUAUGUCGUUAGCGGCGGACGGGUGAGUAACACGUGAGCAACCUGCCUGUAAGACUGGGAUAACUUCGGGAAACCGAAGCUAAUACCGGAUAGGAUCUUCUCCUUCAUGGGAGAUGAUUGAAAGAUGGUUUCGGCUAUCACUUACAGAUGGGCCCGCGGUGCAUUAGCUAGUUGGUGAGGUAACGGCUCACCAAGGCAACGAUGCAUAGCCGACCUGAGAGGGUGAUCGGCCACACUGGGACCGAGACACGGCCCAGACUCCUACGGGAGGCAGCAGUAGGGAAUCUUCCGCAAUGGACGAAAGUCUGACGGAGCAACGCCGCGUGAGUGAUGAAGGCUUUCGGGUCGUAAAACUCUGUUGUUAGGGAAGAACAAGUACGAGAGUAACUGCUCGUACCUUGACGGUACCUAACCAGAAAGCCACGGCUAACUACGUGCCAGCCGCCGCCGUAAGAC
rnacentral:rRNA from 1 species